GAAAAUUGGUUUACACAGACCUAGAGAUAAAGAAGAGAGAGAGGGAGAGAGAGGAAGGAAGAAGAGGAGGCGGCUUUGCCUUUACUAUUAUAGAGAAAGAAAGAAGAGGACACAAAGACAGAAAGGAAGAAGUGAUAUAUGCUUUCUUGAGCCGCUAUCUAGCUUGCGCCGAGAAUGGUCGGAGAUGUGAACGGAAGCGGAGCCAGCGCAACGACGUCUUCUUCGUCGGCGUUGGCGGAAACGCAGUACGUUGGAGCGAAGACGUCCGUGUGGUGGGACAUAGAGAACUGCCAGGUUCCCAAGAGCUGCGAUCCGCACUCGAUCGCUCAGAAUAUCAGCUCUGCGCUUAUUAAUAUGAACUACUGUGGCCCCAUCUCCAUCUCCGCCUAUUGCGACACCACCCGCAUCCCCGCUUCUGUCCAGCACGCGCUCUCCAGCACCGGCAUCGCCCUCAACCACGUCCCUACCGGUGUAAAAGAUGCAAGUGAUAAGAAGAUUUUAGUUGAUAUGCUGUUCUGGGCAGUGGACAACCCUGCUCCUGCAAACUUCAUGCUAAUUUCUGGUGACAGGGAUUUCUCUAAUGCACUCCAUCAACUACGCAUGAGGAGAUAUAAUAUUCUUCUAGCGCAACCUCACAAAGCAUCUGCACCUCUUAUUGCUGCGGCAAAAACUGUAUGGCUCUGGACCAGCCUCUCUGCUGGAGGAUCCCCACUUUCGAAUGGUGAGUCAUCACAGAUUGCUAAUGGUCACCAUACCUCCACUAAUCAUGAAACGUUGCAAUACCAAGUUUCUGAUCCUGUUAAAUUAAGCCAAUCUAGUAUGUUCGUCAAUUCUGAAAAUUUUUCUUCGGGAAGUCAAAGGCCUCUCAGUGGUGGGAGGGUUGGUGAUAUAAAAAAUAAAGGAAAAUCUAGUCGAAAAACCGUAAAUCAGCCAAACAUACCCAGGGCCUCAAGCAUGCCAGGGUCGAUUCAAGAGAGUAGAAACAACAAUUAUCCUUACCAACCAGAUUAUACAGAAGCAAAGCAGUUAAAGAAAGCCCCACAUGAAUUCUUUGGUAGCAGUGAACCUGUAGUCCCUGCAAGUCGGUCUACACCAAAUUUCUUUCCUGGCAGUUCUGACACUUCAGGGAGUAAUGGCAAUAAUUUCUUAGGAAAUCCACAAAAUCAAUAUCCUCAUUCUUUGAGGCCAAACAACCCUCAUAUGCAACCUUCUUUUGGACCGGAGAAUUUGCAUCAUCCAAAUUCUCAUGGUCAUGGUUUUCGCCCAAUUCGACCUAAUGGCCCCGGAUAUUUUCCAGCUCCACAUAUGAAUAUGCCCGAUUUGGGUAGGCUAAGUAUCCCUGAAUACCCCAGCUAUGUUCAAAACCCUCCUAAUGGCCAGCACAGAAGUGGAGAAGAAUUUAGGCCUAACUCUACUGAAUCUCCAUAUUCAGCACGUAUAAAUGCACAACAAAAAGGCCAUAGCCAGGGGGGCCAGGCAUUUCAUCACGAUGCUAUGAACAACAGGUUUCCUCAUGGUUCUGGAUAUUCCCCACCUGUAUCCUCUCCAAUGAAUGCUGUUCCUAGCAAUGGUGGCUGGGGAUCUCGAGGACAUUCACCACCUUCUGACUAUGUGCAAGGCCUUAUUGGUGUCAUCCUACUUGCAUUAAACACCCUGAAAACUGAAAAAAUUAUGCCUACUGAAGCAAACAUAACUGAUUGCAUACGCUAUGGAGAUCUGAAACAUCGCGAUACUGAUGUAAAGAAGGCCUUGGAUUACGCAAUUGAACAAAAUAUGGUAGUGAAACAGAACCUAGGUGCAGUGCAGCUGUAUGUUGGUAAAAAUGGAAGAUUAUGGAAGUGUGUGAACCCUAUAGGUGGUAAUCCUAUGCACUACUCAAAAUCAACAUGGGAUGGCAUACAGAAGUUUCUUACUUCCUCAGCUGGCAGAUCAAAGAUGAUGGCUUCUCAAUGCAGAUAUGAAGCAGCUUUGACCUUAAGGAAAGAAUGCUUAGAAGAGCAUGCUUUGGGUGAUGUACUCCAGAUCUUGAAUAUGGUCAUUUCCGUGAAGAGAUGGAUUAUUCAUCAUCACUCGGGAUGGCAACCGAUUAACAUUAUUCUUGCAGAGACUUAAACUGAUAUAGCUAUCGAAACUGGUCCUUGAUCAAAAUAUAAGAUCAGUUUUGGCACCAAAAUAUUGGCGACUUAAGAUGGUUAGAGGUAUCGUCAUUAAGUUGGACCUCAUGACUGGAGGAACACAGGUCACUUUUGAAAGUAAGUAGGGCUCUGCUAUUUGUUUCACAGCUUUAUUUGCUGGAAGUAGCUGGCAUCUAUAGAAUGAAAACUCUCUUUGGGUAAGGUCACCUACUAGACUGCUCAAUUUUGUACAGCCCGGUGGCUAUAAGAUGCUCUCUGCGCCCUAGUUUUUUUUUUUUUAAAAGCUUUGCACCCAAAUCACUGGGUCUAUUCCUUAAUUAGAGGUACUACUUCCUAGGUCUUGUUUCUUAAAGGUGUAGUAUUUUAAGAGAGAUGCACCAGGGAAGAGUCUUGAACUUUUUAAACAAAAAAAAAAAAAAAAAGAAAAAAAAAAGAGAAGGAAAACCUUGUAAGCAAAUUUCGUAGCCGUGGAUAUAUGAUAUUUGUAUUAUAGCCAGCAUAAUUAGGUUAUGCUGGUUUGUUGUGGUAUAAGGGGCCUUUGAUACAAGUUUUAUUGAAGACGUGCUAUAGUUCUGUUGAAGGGUUUUGAAAAGACCGUGACGACAUGGAGGAGUUUAGUGGUUCAUUUAAAAGACUACAGAAAAGUUCAAAGCGAAAGAGAUGAAGCAACUCCAUAGACAUCAAAGAAGCAUACAAGGUAUGGAUGGUGACUCGUAUUGUUUUUUCAAGUGUGAGAAGAGAGCAUUGCUUUUACUCUUAUUAUAGGUAAAUAAAAAAGAAGGGAGCAUUGUUUAUGCAGACAGCAUAUGCAUAUGUCAGAUUUCUGGAUGCCUUGUAGGAAAGUACAGCUGGAGCUUUGUGCGUGUUCUACCUUGAAAUUGUUUAUAUCAAUUAUCUUGCUGCUAGAGGAAAAAUCUGGGAAGAACAGUGAUGCCAUCUAUGGCUCUAUCCUAUUGGAAGUGUGUACUUUUCUUUUUUUGUCCUUUCAGUGCCUGUUCGUGUUGUAUUUGGCUAAACAAGUUGGCUUGGACCCUUGACUGAUCUUAUGCGGGCUAGCUGGCUUGCUUUCGGAACGCAAUAUCUGGAACAAGCAAUAUGAUAUAAAGCUCUCUCUCUCUCUCUCUCUCUCUCUCGUGUGUGUGUGUCCGCUUCGAAGAAGAAGAAGAAGAGAAGUUUGUGCAGGCCAAGACGGCAAUUGGUCAAUGUUGUCAAGUUUUGAAAGUUAGACGAGGUCGUUGCUGGACUGCAUUUGAUGUCCGAGGAGGUACGACUCGCGUACUUCCAGUCAUAUUAAUGUGUUUAUGAGUAGUAUUCACGCUGCUUGUUGGAUUACAAGAAGUGGAAGAGAGACGGAGACUAGAAUCAAGGCUGUUUAUAAUUUCUGUGACUGACUACUUCAGCCGUAGUCCAAACGCAUGUUGAAUAUUCCCGCGUCAGCGUGGACGGACUCUCAAACCAACCCCCUCACCUACUUAAAACGAGUGGCUGAACUCGAUUGUUUCACCCAACCCAUUUACAAUUGACACUAAUAAUUUAUUUAUGAGAUGUCAUUUCUGUGGGUCA